rnacentral:tRNA from 1 species
GGGGUGGUGGCGCAGUUGGCUAGCGCGUAGGUCUCAUAAUCCUGAGGUCGAGAGUUCGAGCCUCUCUCACCGCA